GUAAACGUUGGGCACUAGGUGUGGGGGGCCUUUCCGGGUUUUCUGCGCCGUAGCUAACGCAUUAAGUGCCCCGCCUGGGGAGUACGGCCGCAAGGCUAAAACUCAAAGGAAUUGACGGGGGCCCGCACAAGCGGCGGAGCAUGCGGAUUAAUUCGAUGCAACGCGAAGAACCUUACCAAGGCUUGACAUACACCGGAAUUAUGCAGAGAUGUGUAAGCCCUUGUGGCUGGUGUACAGGUGGUGCAUGGUUGUCGUCAGCUCGUGUCGUGAGAUGUUGGGUUAAGUCCCGCAACGAGCGCAACCCUUGUCUCGUGUUGCCAGCAUUUGGUUGGGGACUCACGAGAGACUGCCGGGGUUAACUCGGAGGAAGGUGGGGAUGACGUCAAAUCAUCAUGCCCCUUAUGUCUUGGGCUUCACGCAUGCUACAAUGGCCGGUACAGAGGGUGGCGAUACUGUAAGGUGGAGCGAAUCCUUAAAGCUGGUCUCAGUUCGGAU
rnacentral:rRNA from 1 species